GAUGAACGCUGGCGGCGUGCCUAAUACAUGCAAGUCGAGCGAACAGACGAGGAGCUUGCUCCUCUGACGUUAGCGGCGGACGGGUGAGUAACACGUGGAUAACCUACCUAUAAGACUGGGAUAACUUCGGGAAACCGGAGCUAAUACCGGAUAAUAUAUUGAACCGCAUGGUUCAAUAGUGAAAGACGGUUUUGCUGUCAUUUAUAGAUGGAUCCGCGCCGCAUUAGCUAGUUGGUAAGGUAACGGCUUACCAAGGCGACGAUGCGUAGCCGACCUGAGAGGGUGAUCGGCCACACUGGAACUGAGACACGGUCCAGACUCCUACGGUAGGCAGCAGUAGGGAAUCGGACGCAAUGGGCGAAAGCCUGACGGAGCAACGCCGCGUGAGAGAUGAAGGUCUUCGGAUCGUAAAACUCUGUUAUUAGUGAAGAACAAAUGUGUAAGUAACUAUGCACGUCUUGACGGUACCUAAUCAGAAAGCCACGGCUAACUACGUG
rnacentral:rRNA from 1 species